rnacentral:rRNA from 1 species
UUAAAUUGAAGAGUUUGAUCAUGGCUCAGAUUGAACGCUGGCGGCAGGCCUAACACAUGCAAGUCGAACGGUAACAGGAAGAAGCUUGCUUCUUUGCUGACGAGUGGCGGACGGGUGAGUAAUGUCUGGGAAACUGCCUGAUGGAGGGGGAUAACUACUGGAAACGGUAGCUAAUACCGCAUAACGUCGCAAGACCAAAGAGGGGGACCUUCGGGCCUCUUGCCAUC